GUGCUUGGCAGGAAUGUCAGUUUUUUCAGCUGGCUGUGGAAGAAAUAAGCUGCAUAUCAACACAGUUCUUUUUUUUUUCCUGUUGAAGAGAAGUUUUGAUAGAAGGACACACAUGGUACAGCUCAGGUGCUUCAUUGCAUACUCGGAGAUAGUUUCAUCCAGGAGAAGGGGAGAGGCUCAUAACUUCUUCCUACAACUGAAGGACCAAAGAAAGCCCCAGAUCGGAAGCAGAUGCCCAAAUGCAGCUCAGCAGCCAACAAGAAAGCCAGAAAGCUGGGUACAAAGUCACCUGCUUUAGUGCCCCCACGUCUCAGAUACUAGUUCAGCCAGAUGGCUUCUGACAAUGACAACAGAUGCUGAGAGCCCCAUCUUGUACCUGGACGUCACUGGAGUUUCAAGGAUGUCCCACAGCAACUCCCUCUUUCUCCAGCCAGCCUUUGUACUGCAAUAUAAACUUCUCAGGACUCUCCACUUUUCCUUUUUUCCACUCUUUUCCCUUUUCCUUUACCCUUUCCUUCCCCUUCCCUUUCUCUUCUUUCUAUUUCCCUUUCCCUUUCCUUUCCCUCUUGUUUCUUUUCCUUUUCCUUUUUCUGGAUGCACCAGGUGUACUGCUUUAGGUGAGUAAAACAAUGCUGGAAAGUGUUGCAGAACCCGAAUCCUUUGUAUUUUUAUUCCUUUAUAGAAGUCAUUUCAGUUGUUAGAUAAAUAUAACAGAUUUUCAUACUACAUAUAUACAUCUAUAUACAUUUAUAUAAGUGCCAUGCAGUCUCAGAAUCAUACAAAUGUUUCUGCAUUAUGCAACAAGGAAUAGUGAAAUGAUGAGAAAAUGCAUUUUUAUGAGCACUGCAGUACGCGUGGAUGCAGUUAACCUGUGAGCCCAGACAGCUGCCAAGCUCCCACACCCAGCUGGGGAUGCUGCCUGUGUACUGACAGUGUGCAAGGACAAAAACGAACCAAGGGCCAGCUCUUGCUUCCACCUGUGGAAACCCAGGUGCAUUUUCUGGAGGGCCACUGUGACUUGGGAAGGGUCCCCACCGUAAGGUUCCCACCCUUCAGGCUACCCAGAAUCAUAGGGAUUUGUCCCCAAG
ensembl:lncRNA